AAGAAAAAAGAAAAAAAAGAUGAAUCAGGUGAAGGGUGAGGGGAGGGAAAGAGGAAAAUGGAAUGUGGUUCUGUCUCAGAGGGAGGGGUCAGUCUGUGGAAAGACCUGGAAGUAAGCACUGAGCACUGAGCCACAUCCCCAGCCCCUUUUAUUUUUUAUUUAGAGACAGAGUCUCUCCAAGUCGUUUAGGACCUUGCUAAGUUCUGAGGCCAGCUUUGAACUGGAGAUCCUCCUGCCUUGGACUCCUGAGGUACUGGGAUUGCGUUUGCCGAGGAACCUGGUGGAAUUUUAGUCUCUGUUUGGCACAUUAAUUGAAGCACUCACUCAUUGAUCAGACAUCUGUUGUGAGCCUGCCCUGUGCCACUUCCUGCAUUAGGUGUUGGUCCUGUGGCUGUGGGCAAGUAGAUCACAAUCCCCUCCCGUGGAGCUGACAUUCUAGUGGGUGGAGAUAAGAACCAUCUAACUAUAGUCUAUGUGGGAUGAUGGGAAACAGAGCAGCUUAAAGAGAUAGACUGACAGGGUGCUUUCUUGUGUGACCAGGGAGGGCCUCUCUGAGGAGGUGGCUUUUGAGCAUUUGAAGGAGGAGAAGAAAGGAGCCAUGUGGAGAAAGGGAACAGCAAGUGCAAAGGACCUGCGGUUGGAGUGUGCGCGGGCUGUUUAAGAAACAGCAAGCUUAGCAGAGCUGCUGGAGGGACUGGGAGGAGGAAAUAAUCUGAGGCAAAUGUUCCCUGAUCAGAUCACGUAUUUGUGGAUUUUAAUCUAAGUAAGACAAGAAGCCCCUGGAAAAUUUUGAAAAGAGGAUUGGUAUUAUAUUUUUAUUUUGACAGAAUUAGUCUGGAAUAUUUCCUUUCUUAGUAUGACUUGAAAUCCAAAAAGAAAAAAAAAGAUGAAUUAUUGCAAAAAAAUAAUAAUAAAGCCAAUUCACAGAAAAGCUAAAAGAAAGAAAGAAAACUGGAAAAAGUUUUGAGCUUUAUAUCACAGACUUCCUAAUAUCCUCUCUAUAUAAAGAGUUUCUAAAAAUUAACAAUAAAAGUACCAAAAAUCCAAUUAAAGACAAAUUUGGCAAAGAUGUGAGCAGAAUGUCUGCAACAAAUGAAACACAGAAGUUUCUCCAACAUAUGAAAAGACAGUCAGCCCUACUCAUAACAGGAGAAGUGCCCAUCAAGACCACACUGACACGCCAAGUUUUACGCAGUAGAUUUGUGUAAGUUCCGAAGACUGGUGACAGGCUGUAGGAGAGCAAGCAAGCUUACACAUGGACUUGGCCUUCCAGGGUGGAGAUGCAGAUCCCUUGGACUUGGAGACCCAGCUGUGCUCCAGGAUGGUGAAGACGUUCAGAAUGAGACCAGCAGUGAAUCAGGAGCGUGCUUGGUGGUAGUGUCCUGGGUUAAUGUGGACACAAGUGGGCGACGGGGGUGAACUGUUCUCUGCUUUACGAUGUACACAUAUCAAUCAGGUCCUUCCAGUGGGUACUUUGGGGAGUGGGGGAGGCAAGGGACAGGUGAGCCCAGGGAGAUGGAAAAGGCUGUCAUUGGCAACUGUGGGGUCUCACCACCACCUCGCCACCCCCACCCCCCGCAGAGCUGGGGGUUGAACCCCGGGCUUCUCAUAUGCAAGGUGAGUGCUCCACCACUGAGCUACCUUCCCAGCCCUUUUUUAGCAUUUAUUUUGAGACAGGGUCUCAUUCAGUUGCUCAGAUUGGCCUAAGACUUGAGAUCCUCCUGCCUCAGCCUCCCAUGGAGCUGGGAUUCCAGGUGCGCCCUGCACCGGGCCCACCGCCAUCUUUAAGAGGCAAAGAGAGGAGGUGCUUCUUGGAAUCUGGUGUUGGCGCCUUAUUUUACUUUUUAUUUUAAUUGAGUUAGGGCCUUAGCUAGAGAGAUGUUGCUCAUACACCGUGACCAGGAAUAAGGGAACUUUGAAGAUAAGUACCUGGUCUUUGUCCUCUACCAUGUCUGGAUGUGAUUUGUUCAGGGACUGGAGGCUGACCCCAGUGUGGCAGUACUGACAGAUGAUGGAAUCAUUGAGGGGGGUUGGGGGGAGUGGGAGGUCGUUAGGUCAUGGCAGGUACUCCCCCUCAGAAGGGAUUAAUGCUCAUCUCUUAGAGUAAAUGACUGUGAGCAUGAAUUGUUUUAAAAAGAAGCUGGGCAUGGUGUCCAGUGCCUGUAAUUCCAGCUACUCAGAGGGUAGAAGCUGCCUCAGCAACUUAAUGAGACGAUGUCUCAAGAAGCAAAAAGGACUGGGAAUGGAGCUCAGUGGUAGAGGGCUGUGAAUUUAAUCCCCAGUACUGUUAAAAAAAUAAAUAAAUAAAAAGCUCCUACUAGCUCUGGCUUCCAACCAUGUGACCUCUUUGGCUUUUCCUUGAGGCCCUCACCAGAACCAAACAGAAGUUGAUGCUCGGACCUCCAGAACUGUGAGCUAAUCUUUUCUUUACAAAUGACCCCGCCUCAGGUGUUUUGUUAUAGCAAUGGAAAAUGGACUAAGACAUUCUGCCACCCUCUGAUCGCCAGCAAGUGCCUCCCAUUGGCAGAACCCAACAGAACUGGAAGCCAAAGCACAGGGAAAUUUGUGGAUACAAUUCAAGGGGGGAGCUCCUGGGAUAAUCAGAAGACCUCCCUCCAUCACAGGGAUACCUAUAAUUUUUUUUUAAAGUUACUUGAAUUUCUAUUAAACUACAAUUCACUGUUCAUUUUCACCACACAAUCUGCCAUUUUAAAGCACCCAAUUCAGUGUGUCUUCGUGUGUCCACAAGGUUGUACAACCGUCCCCACCAUCUCAUUUCCUGUAGAAUUAGACCUCUGUAUCCAUAUCAAUCAAAUGCAGAUUGGAGAUUGUUUUAAAAAUUACAUUUGUGCUGAACAUA